UACGGGAGGCAGCAGUAGGGAAUCUUCCGCAAUGGACGAAAGUCUGACGGAGCAACGCCGCGUGAGUGAUGAAGGUUUUCGGAUCGUAAAACUCUGUUGUUAGGGAAGAACAAGUACCGUUCGAAUAGGGCGGUACCUUGACGGUACCUAACCAGAAAGCCACGGCUAACUACGUGCCAGCAGCCGCGGUAAUACGUAGGUGGCAAGCGUUGUCCGGAAUUAUUGGGCGUAAAGCGCGCGCAGGCGGUUUCUUAAGUCUGAUGUGAAAGCCCGCGGCUCAACCGGGGAGGGUCAUUGGAAACUGGGGAACUUGAGUGCAGAAGAGGGGAGUGAAUUCCACGUGUAGCGGUGAAAUGCGUAGAGAUGUGGAGGAACACCAGUGGCGAAGGCGACUCUCUGGUCUGUAACUGACGCUGAGGCGCGAAAGCGUGGGGAGCGAACAGGAUUAGAUACCCUGGUAGUCCACGCCGUAAACGAUGAGUGCUAAGUGUUAGAGGGUUUCCGCCCUUUAGUGCUGCAGCAAACGCAUUAAGCACUCCGCCUGGGGAGUACGGUCGCAAGACUGAAACUCAAAGGAAUUGACGGGGGCCCGCACAAGCGGUGGAGCAUGUGGUUUAAUUCGAAGCAACGCGAAGAACCUUACCAGGUCUUGACAUCCUCUGACAACCCUAGAGAUAGGGCUUCCCCUUCGGGGGCAGAGUGACAGGUGGUGCAUGGUUGUCGUCAGCUCGUGUCGUGAGAUGUUGGGUUAAGUCCCGCAACGAGCGCAACCCUUGAUCUUAGUUGCCAGCAUUCAGUUGGGCACUCUAAGGUGACUGCCGGUGACAAACCGGAGGAAGGUGGGGAUGACGUCAAAUCAUCAUGCCCCUUAUGACCUGGGCUACACACGUGCUACAAUGGGCAGAACAAAGGGCAGCGAAGCCGCGAGGCUAAGCCAAUCCCACAAAUCUGUUCUCAGUUCGGAUCGCAGUCUGCAACUCGACUGCGUGAAGCUGGAAUCGCUAGUAAUCGCGGA
rnacentral:rRNA from 1 species